rnacentral:lncRNA from 1 species
UCAAUGUAUGAGUGUACCUUUUCUCCCACAGCCUCACCAAUAUUUACUAUUGCUUGUAUUCUUGAUAAUUGUCAUUCUGAAUGAAGUGAGAUGAAAUAUUAGAGUAGUUUUGAUUUGCAUUUUUAUAACCACUAGAGGUGUUAAACAUUUUUUCAUAUAUUUGUUGAUUGAUUGUAUAUCUUCUUAGUGAAGUGUCUGUUCUGUUCCUUAGCCCAUUUAUUAAUUGAGUUAUUUGUUUUUCUGCUGUUAAGUUUUUUUGAAUUCUUUAUAUAUUCUGGAGAUUAAUGCUCUGAUGAGCCUGUGGUCAAAAUCUGCUCCCUAAAUGUAGGCUCUCUCUUCACCUCAUUGAUUG